UUAUUUUAUUUCGAUAUUUCGUUACAUUCUUUGACUAGUGUUAUAAAGUGAGCCGCAGGGCAAGAAUUGAAAUAGGGGGUUUUAAAUCCGUUCUUUCAAAUCAAGUCCCGCCAAAUAGAUGCACAGAGUUAGAAAAUGGAGGUCAGGCUCUACAAGUAGACGCCCUAAAAUUCAUUAAUGAUCCUUCCGCAGGUUCACCUACGGAAA
rnacentral:misc_RNA from 1 species